AGACAAUAUACGCACCGUUAGCCCAUCAUCACGGAAUCUUCUUUAAACCGAGAACAGAAGGAAGAGACAUUCGAGCACGACUUGGAGCUUUGCCAUCAGAGAUGGCAAUUGAUCAAAUUUAAGAACAGGCUCUCAAAAGACUGACCGAAUUACUUCCCAUUUACCACUGAUAUAUCAAAGACAGUGGUAUGCGGUAUUCUGUCUGGGAAGCUGGAGGAUACAAUAUGGCAGCAGGCUUCUGAUAAAAUUACCCAACAGCUGGAUUAGAUG